GAUCUACUCCCUCCGUUCCGAAUUACUUGUCGCACGUAUGGAUGUAUCUAGAUGUAUUUUAGUUUUAGAUACAUCCAUUUCUGCGACGAGUAAUUUGGAACGGAGGGAGUAGGAA
rnacentral:pre_miRNA from 1 species